AUACGGAGGAUGCAAGCGUUAUCCGGAUUUAUUGGGUUUAAAGGGUGCGUAGGCGGUUUGCUAAGCGGGAGGUGAAAUGCCGGCGCUCAACGUCGGAAGUGCCUCCCGAACUGGUGGACUUGAAUGACUCUGCCGUGGGAGGAAUGUGUAGUGUAGCGGUGAAAUGCUUAGAGAUUACACAGAACACCUAUUGCGAAGGCAUCUCACGAAGGGUUGAUUGACGCUGAGGCACGAAAGCGUGGGGAUCAAACAGGAUUAGAUACCCUGGUAGUCCACGCAGUAAACGAUGAUGGUUAACCGCUGGAUCCAUCGGUUCAGUGGCCAAGCGAAAGCGAUAAGCCAUCCACCUGGGGAGUACGACCGCAAGGUUGAAACUCAAAUGAAUUGACGGGG
rnacentral:rRNA from 1 species